rnacentral:rRNA from 1 species
UUAAGCAUAUCAAUAAGCGGAGGAAAAGAAACCAACAGGGAUUGCCCUAGUAACGGCGAGUGAAGCGGCAACAGCUCAAAUUUGAAAUCUGGCUUCGGCCCGAGUUGUAAUUUGCAGAGGAAGCUUUAGGCGCGGCACCUUCUGAGUCCCCUGGAACGGGGCGCCAUAGAGGGUGAGAGCCCCGUAUAGUUGGAUGCCUAGCCUGUGUAAAGCUCCUUCGACGAGUCGAGUAGUUUGGGAAUGCUGCUCAAAAUGGGAGGUAAAUUUCUUCUAAAGCUAAAUACCGGCCAGAGACCGAUAGCGCACAAGUAGAGUGAUCGAAAGAUGAAAAGCACUUUGAAAAGAGGGUUAAAUAGCACGUGAAAUUGUUGAAAGGGAAGCGCUUGUGACCAGACUUGCGCCGGGCAGAUCAUCCGGUGUUCUCACCGGUGCACUCUGCCCGGCUCAGGCCAGCAUCGGUUCUCGCGGGGGGAUAAAGGCCCUGGGAACGUAGCUCCUCCGGGAGUGUUAUAGCCCGGGGCGUAAUGCCCUCGCGGGGACCGAGGUUCGCGCAUCUGCAAGGAUGCUGGCGUAAUGGUCAUCAGCGACCCGUCUUGAAACACGGACCAAGGAGUCAAGGUUUUGCGCGAGUGUUUGGGUGUAAAACCCGCACGCGUAAUGAAAGUGAACGUAGGUGAGAGCUUCGGCGCAUCAUCGACCGAUCCUGAUGUUUUCGGAUGGAUUUGAGUAGGAGCGUUAAGCCUUGGACCCGAAAGAUGGUGAACUAUGCUUGGAUAGGGUGAAGCCAGAGGAAACUCUGGUGGAGGCUCGCAGCGGUUCCUGACGUGCAAAUCGAUCGUCAAAUCUGAGCAUGGGGGGCGAAAGACUAAUCGAACCAUCUAGUAGCUGGUUACCGCCGAAGUU